rnacentral:rRNA from 1 species
AUGAAGAAGAUCAAGGCUGAGAAGGACCCCAACAAGCCCACGUGUCCCCGAGCGCUUUUUUCAUCUUCAUCUGAGUCCCAGUCUCGGUUCUUGGUUCGAUUCAUGUUGCUUCUGUGGGACAACUUCAGGAAGGAGUACAAGGAGAAUCACCCCGACAUCAAGAAGGUCUCCGUGAUCGGCAAGGCCGGUGCAGGUGCUCUUCUCUUGCACACGUCUGGCACCGACUCCGGCGCGGUGGUGCUUCUUGAGGUGACUGGCAUGAUGGCGGUUAUGUACGGCGGCGACCACAAGCCCUCCGUUAAUAGUAUUUGGCUUCUACGUGAUGGUCUGGGACUAAUUUAUGGUGAUGUGGAUAUACUUUGUGAUUUAAAGUUACUAAUCCAUGGUCUGCUGUCAUAUUAUGGUCUAAUAUUUUUUGUUUUGACUCUUUCUCCGGUGCGAGGAAAGCUGUGA